CAGACACACACACACUCACAGACACACACACACACUCACAGACACACACUGACACACACACACACACACUCACAGACACACACACACUCACAGACAGACACACACACACACACUCACAGACACUCAUACACUCACAGACACACACACUCACACACUGACACACUCACACACUGACACACACACACUCACACUGACACAUACUCACACACUCACAGACACACACACACUGACACAUACUCACACACUCAGACACACUGACACAUACUCACACACUCAC